rnacentral:rRNA from 1 species
UAAUCCACACGACUCUCGGCAACGGAUAUCUCGGCUCUCGCAUCGAUGAAGAACGUAGCGAAAUGCGAUACCUGGUGUGAAUUGCAGAAUCCCGCGAACCAUUGAGUCUUUGAACGCAAGUUGUGCCCGAGGCCACUCGGCCGAGGGCACGCCUGCCUGGGCGUCACGCCAAAACACGCUCCCAACCACCCAUAUCAGGAAUCGGGAUGCGGCAUCUGGUCCCUCGUCUCGCAACGGGCAGUGGACCGAAGAUCGGGCUGCCGGUGUACCAUGCUAGACACAGCGCAUGGUGGGCGUCCUCGCUUUAUCAACGCAGUGCAUCUGAUGUGCAGCCGUCAUUAUGGCCUUAGAACGACCCAGCAAACGAAGUGCACGUCGCUUCGACCGCGACCCCAGGUCAGGCGGGACUACCCACUGAGUUUAAGCAUAUAAAUAAGCGGAGGAGAAGAAACUUACAAGGAUUCCCCUAGUAACGGCGAGUGAACCGGGAGCAGCCCAGCUUGAGAAUCGGGCGGCUGUGCCGUCCGAAUUGUAGUCUGGAGAGGCGCCCUCAGCGACGGACCGGGCCCAAGUCCCCUGGAAAGGGGCGCCUGGGAGGGUGAGAGCCCCGUCUGGCCCAGACCCUGUCGCCCCACGAGGCACCGUCAACGAGUAAGGUUGUUUUGGAAUGUAGCCCAAAUCGGGCGGUAGACUCCGUCCAAGGCUAAAUACAGGCGAGAGACCGAUAGCGAACAAGUACUGCGAGGGAAAAAUGAAAAGGAGUUUGAAAAGAGAGUCAAAGAGUGCUUGAAAUUGCCGGGAGGGAAGCGGAUGGGGUUAGCGAUGUGCCCCGGCCAUAUGCGGAACGGCUCUUGCUGGUCCGCCGCUCGGCUCGGGGUGUGGGCUAUUGUCGGCCGCGCCGGCGGCCAAAGCCCGGGGGCCCUAGGUGCCCCUGGUGGCCGUCGUCGGCAUGGCCGGUACCCGCACACCGAAAGGUGUGUCCCUCGGGGCCCUGCGCUGCAACGGCCUGUGGGCUCCCCAUCCGACCCAUCUUGAAACAGGGAACAAGGAGUCUGACAUGCGUGUGAGUCAAUGGGUUCUGAAACCUGGGAUGCGCAAGGAAGUUGACGAGCGGGAGGCCCUCACGGGCCACACCACUGGCCGACCCUGAUCUUCUGUGAAGGGUUCGAGUUGGAGCACGCCUGUCGGGACCCGAAAGAUGGUGAACUAUGCAUGAGCGGGGCGAAGCCAGAGGAAACUCUGGUGGAGGCUCGAAACGAUACUGACGUGCAAAUCGUUCGUCUGACUUGGGUAUAGGGGCGAAAGACUAAUCAAAACAUCUAGUAGCUGGUUCCCUCUGAAGUAUCCCUCAGGAUAGCUGGAGCCCAUUACGAGUUCUAUCAGGUAAAGCCAAUGAUUAGAGUCAUUGGGGACGCAAUGUCCUCGACCUAUUCUCAAACUUUAAAUAGGUAGGAUGGCGCGGCUGCUUCGAUGAGCCGUGCCAAGGAAUCGGGUGCUCCAAGUGGGCCAUUUUGGUAAGCAGAACUGGCGAUGCGGGAUGAACCGGAAGCCGGGUUACGGUGCCCACCUGCGCGCUAACCUAGAACCCACAAAGGGUGUUUGUCGAUUAAGACAGCAGGACGAUGGUCAUGGAAGUCGAAAUCCGCUAAGGAGUGCGUAACAACUCAACUGCUGAAUCAACUAGCCCCGAAAAUGGAUGGCGCUGAAGCGCGCGACCCACACCCGGCCAUCUGGGAGAGCGCCAUGCCCCGAUGAGUAGGAGGGCGCGGCGGCCGCUGCAAAACCCGGGGCGUGAGCCCGGGCGGAGCGGCCGUCUGUGCAAAUCUUGGUGGUAGUAGCAAAUAUUCAAAUAAUAACUUUGAAGGCCGAAGAGGAGAAAGGUUCCAUGUGAACGGCACUUGCACAUGGGUAAGCCGAUCCUAAGGGACGGGGUAACCCCGGCAGAUAGCGCGAUCACGCGCAUCCCCCGAAAGGGAAUCGGAUUAAGAUUUCCUGAGCCGGGAUGUGGCGGUUGACGGCGACGUUAGGAAGUCCGAAGACGCCGGCGGGGGCCUCGGGAAGAGUUAUCUUUUCUGCUUAACGGCCUGCCAACCCUGGAAAAGGUUCAGCCGGAGGUAGGGUCCAGUGGCCGGAAGAGCACCGCACGUCGCGCGGUGUCCGGUGUGCCCCCGACGGCAUAUGAAAAUCCGGAGGACCGAGUACCAUUCACGCCCGGUCGUACUCAUAACCGCAUCAGGUCUCCAAGGUGAAGCCUCUGGCCAAUGCAACAAUGUAGGCAAGGGAAGUUGGCAAAACAGAUCUGUAACUUAGGGAAAACGAUUGGCUCUGAGGACUGGGCUCUGGGGUCCCGGCCCCGAACCCGUUGGCUGUCGGCGGAUUGCUCGAGUUGCUCACGCGGGGAGAGCGGGUCGCCGCGUGCCGGCCGGGGGACGGACCGGGAAUCGCCCCUUCGGGGGCUUUCGCCGAGCAUGAAACAGCCGACUCAGAACUGGUACGGACA